rnacentral:rRNA from 1 species
AGCGAACGCUGGCGGCAGGCCUAACACAUGCAAGUCGAACGAACUCUUAGGAGUUAGUGGCGGACGGGUGAGUGACACGUGGGAACGUGCCUUUAGGUUCGGAAUAACUCAGGGAAACUUGUGCUAAUACCGAAUGUGCCCUUCGGGGGAAAGAUUUAUCGCCUUUAGAGCGGCCCGCGUCUGAUUAGCUAGUUGGUGAGGUAACGGCUCACCAAGGCGACGAUCAGUAGCUGGUCUGAGAGGAUGGCCAGCCACACUGGGACUGAGACACGGCCCAGACUCCUACGGGAGGCAGCAGUGGGGACUCUUGCGCAAUGGGCGAAAGCCUGACGCAGCGAUGCCGCGUGAAUGAUGAAGGUCUUAGGAUUGUAAAAUUCUUUCACCGGGGACGAUAAUGACGGUACCCGGAGAAGAAGCCCCGGCUAACUUCGUGCCAGCCGCCGCAGUAA